rnacentral:lncRNA from 1 species
CAUUUACAAGUAAAAUAUAUCUGUACAUCAAUAAACCUCAUUCUUAUUACUUUCACCCCACAGAUAUCCAAAGGCAGUGAUCAUUCGCAAUGUGGCCUGCAAAGUUUCAGCGAAGAAAGAAAGCUACUCUUGAUGUGCUCAAUAAGAUACAAAAGCACAUCGGCAAAUGUAACUUGCCCAGCUGCUCAGCUACUGAAAACUUCCAGUGGGCGAGUCUGAGGGUCACAUUCCCCUUCCUAUUACAGCAAGUGGAGAGUAACCACACCCAGCAGAAUUUGCUUUUGUAGUUUAGAAGCAGGGUAAUCCUAUCGCCAUGUCCUAUGGAUUCCUCUCUGAAAUCCCACAGCAACGCAGGUGAAUGAUUUCCAUUGGCGUUUGGGAGCUGGUAUAGGAUUAGGAUGGGAUGGAUUUUGACUGCAGUGUGCAUCAUUACAUUAAAAUCCCUGAGGAUAUCUGACCAAGAACAUGAUAAUGACAAAUACUCUUCUGCCGGUAGGGAAGAGAAGUCAUUGGGGCAGUGUGGAUUAUCAAGAGAUGCAUGGACCCCAUAAGAUGUAUGGGGGGUGGUGGUGGGGGGGGUAAGGCCAGAGAUCCCUAAAUCCCCUGCCUCAACUAUCAUCUUUUAACGGCCACUUCUCUAAGGAGACCAUGUGGAGGAAACUCCGGAGUCAAUCUCAAAAUUUCUAGGGCCCUCUGUAUCCUUUCCUCUAGAACUUUCCGGAGGAAGUUACAAAAUGGCCCUUUAUCCCCCACAACCUUACAAGCACAUGAGUUAUUUCUGAAAUCUGUCUAUUUUGGGGUAUCACUAGUGAAGACUAAGUCCCUGCAGUUUCCUUUGGCAAUGUAAUUCUCUACUGAAAAAGCAUACACACCACAAACAUGCCCCGUUUGACAAUAGGACAGAUUCAAUUAAAAUAUGAGGUGUUUUUUAUUUAAAAAAAAUUACGUUAAGCCCUAGGGACUCCUUCAUUGGAUGGAAUGGAGAAAAGAUGGUAGCUUUGAGCAAGUCCCAACAAUUGCUGCUUCUGAAGAUUUAUUCUUGACUGAAUAUUUAAGAACUCCAAGAAGGUUUUGUAGCUUCCAAGAGUCAAGCUGUGGACUUGUGAAGAUCUCUGUUUAAGCUCAAAAGCUUGUCUCUUUCACCAAAAGAAGUUGGUCCAAUAAAAAAUGUUACUUGACCCA